AUGGGAAACAGGUUAAUAUUCCUGUACUUGGUGUUACUGCGAAGGGGGGACGGAGAAGGCUAUGUUGGCCGGGCGACGGUUGUCCCGGUUUAAGCGUGUAGGCUGGUUUUCCAGGCAAAUCCGGAAAACCAAGGCUGAGGCGUGAUGACGAGGCACUACGGUGCUGAAGUGACAAAUGCCCUGCUUCCAGGAAAAGCCUCUAAGCAUCAGGUAACAUCAAAUCGUACCCCAAACCGACACAGGUGGUCAGGUAGAGAAUACCAAGGCGCUUGAGAGAACUCGGGUGAAGGAACUAGGCAAAAUGGUGCCGUAACUUCGGGAGAAGGCACGCUGAUAUGUAGGUGAAGCGACUUGCUCGUGGAGCUGAAAUCAGUCGAAGAUACCAGCUGGCUGCAACUGUUUAUUAAAAACACAGCACUGUGCAAACACGAAAGUGGACGUAUACGGUGUGACGCCUGCCCGGUGCCGGAAGGUUAAUUGAUGGGGUUAGCGGUAACGCGAAGCUCUUGAUCGAAGCCCCGGUAAACGGCGGCCGUAACUAUAACGGUCCUAAGGUAGCGAAAUUCCUUGUCGGGUAAGUUCCGACCUGCACGAAUGGCGUAAUGAUGGCCAGGCUGUCUCCACCCGAGACUCAGUGAAAUUGAACUCGCUGUGAAGAUGCAGUGUACCCGCGGCAAGACGGAAAGACCCCGUGAACCUUUACUAUAGCUUGACACUGAACAUUGAGCCUUGAUGUGUAGGAUAGGUGGGAGGCUUUGAAGUGUGGACGCCAGUCUGCAUGGAGCCGACCUUGAAAUACCACCCUUUAAUGUUUGAUGUUCUAACGUUGGCCCGUAAUCCGGGUUGCGGACAGUGUCUGGUGGGUAGUUUGACUGGGGCGGUCUCCUCCUAAAGAGUAACGGAGGAGCACGAAGGUUGGCUAAUCCUGGUCGGACAUCAGGAGGUUAGUGCAAUGGCAUAAGCCAGCUUGACUGCGAGCGUGACGGCGCGAGCAGGUGCGAAAGCAGGUCAUAGUGAUCCGGUGGUUCUGAAUGGAAGGGCCAUCGCUCAACGGAUAAAAGGUACUCCGGGGAUAACAGGCUGAUACCGCCCAAGAGUUCAUAUCGACGGCGGUGUUUGGCACCUCGAUGUCGGCUCAUCACAUCCUGGGGCUGAAGUAGGUCCCAAGGGUAUGGCUGUUCGCCAUUUAAAGUGGUACGCGAGCUGGGUUUAGAACGUCGUGAGACAGUUCGGUCCCUAUCUGCCGUGGGCGCUGGAGAACUGAGGGGGGCUGCUCCUAGUACGAGAGGACCGGAGUGGACGCAUCACUGGUGUUCGGGUUGUCAUGCCAAUGGCACUGCCCGGUAGCUAAAUGCGGAAGAGAUAAGUGCUGAAAGCAUCUAAGCACGAAACUUGCCCCGAGAUGAGUUCUCCCUGAGACUUUAAGUCUCCUGAAGGAACGUUGAAGACGACGACGUUGAUAGGCCGGGUGUGUAAGCGCAGCGAUGCGUUGAGCUAACCGGUACUAAUGAACCGUGAGGCUUAACCUUACAACGCCGAAGGUGUUU
rnacentral:rRNA from 1 species